rnacentral:lncRNA from 1 species
GACUGCAAGCAGCGGGAGAGCUCGGCGGCCGCGGCGAGCUUCUCCGGCCUGCUGCGCCAGCUCAACGAGCUCGAGCAGAGCGUCGUGACGUGGGGGCGGAAGAGCACCGGCAAGGGUUGCUCCUCGCCACCGGCGCCGCCGCCGCCUCCACCGCCGUUACCGGCGCGGCCAGUGAAGCAACGAGUCGUGCACAGCGGCGGCGGCGACAGCAAAGAAGGUCACGGCAGCUUCUCUCCGCCGCCUCCACCUCCACCGCCGUUACCGGCGCGGCCAGUGAAGCAACGAGUUGUUGUGCACAGCGGCGGCGACAGCAAAGAAGGCCACGGGAACUUCUCUCCGACACCGCCGGCUCUUUCUUUCCAGCUUGAGACGACGCAGCAGCACCGGAAGGCAAA